rnacentral:rRNA from 1 species
CUGACGGCUCAGUAACACGCGGAUAAUCUGCCCUUAGGUGGAGGAUAACCUCGGGAAACUGAGAAUAACACUCCAUAGAUCUAGGAUGCUGGAAUGCACUUAGAUUGAAAACUUCAUAGCGCCUAAGGAUGAGUCUGCGGACUAUCAGGCAGUAGUCAGGGUAACGACCUGACUAACCUACGACGGAUAAGGGUUGUGAGAGCAAUAACCCUGAGAUGAUAUCUGAGACACGAUAUCAGGCCCUACGGGGCGCAGCAGGCGCGAAAACUUCGCACUGUGCGAAAGCACGACGAGGGGAUCCCAAGUGCUGGCUCGUUAGAGUCAGCUGUUUUUCUGUCUAAAAAACAGAGAGAGUAAGGGCUGGGUAAGACGGGUGCCAGCCGCCGCGGUAAUACCUGCAGCCCAAGUGGUGGUCUGUAUUAUUGGGCCUAAAACGUCCGUAGCCGGUUCUGUAAAUGCCUGGGUAAAUCGUGUAGCUUAACUAUACGACUUCCGGGUAGACUGCAGGACUUGAGAUCGGGAGAAGCUAGAGGUACUCCUGGGGUAGAGGUGAAAUUCUGUAAUCCUAGGGGGACCACCAGUGGCGAAGGCGUCUAGCUAGAACGAGUCCGACGGUCAGGGACGAAGCCCUGGGGCGCAAACG